rnacentral:RNase_P_RNA from 1 species
UGAGUAAGUCAGAUGGUCGCGUGGGCUUUUAUGCCUACGAGGAAAGUCCGAGCUCCAUAGAGCAGGGUGCUGGGUAAUACCCAGUGGAGGCGACUCCAAGGAAAGUGCAACAGAGAGAUACCGCCCAUCAUUCUUUAGAGUGACGGGUAAGGGUGGAAAGGUGAGGUAAGAGCUCACCAGCAGCUAGGUGACUAGCUGGCUAUGUAAACCCCAUCUGGAGCAAGACCAAGUAGGGACUAAAAAAACGGCUGCUCGUCGUGUCCCGUGGUAGGUUGCUUGAGCCAACUGGCAACAGUUGGCCUAGAUAGAUGACCGUUUAAUACAGAACUCGGCUUAUAGAUUUGCUCACUUA